UUGAACGCUGGCGGCAGGCCUAACACAUGCAAGUCGAGCGGUAACAGAUCUAGCUUGCUAGAUGCUGACGAGCGGCGGACGGGUGAGUAACGCGUAGGAAACUGCCUAGUAGUGGGGGAUAGCCAUUGGAAACGAUGAUUAAUACCGCAUACGCCCUACGGAGGAAAGCAGGGGAUCUUCGGACCUUGCGCUAUUAGAUAAGCCUGCGUGGGAUUAGCUAGUUGGUGAGGUAAAGGCUCACCAAGGCGACGAUCUCUAGCUGGUCUGAGAGGAUGAUCAGCCACACUGGAACUGAGACACGGUCCAGACUCCUACGGGAGGCAGCAGUGGGGAAUAUUGCACAAUGGGCGCAAGCCUGAUGCAGCCAUGCCGCGUGUGUGAAGAAGGCUUUCGGGUUGUAAAGCACUUUCAGUUGGGAGGAAAAGUUAUAGUUUAAUACGCUAUAGCCGUGACGUUACCAACAGAAGAAGCACCGGCUAACUCCGUGCCAGCAGCCGCGGUAAUACGGAGGGUGCAAGCGUUAAUCGGAAUUACUGGGCGUAAAGCGCGCGUAGGUGGUUUGUUAAGCGAGAUGUGAAAGCCCCGGGCUUAACCUGGGAACUGCAUUUCGAACUGGCAGACUAGAGUAUGGUAGAGGUGAGUGGAAUUUCCUGUGUAGCGGUGAAAUGCGUAGAUAUAGGAAGGAACAUCAGUGGCCGAAGGCGACUCACUGGCACAACACUGACGCUGAGGUGCGAAAGCGUGGGUAGCAAACGGGAUUAGAUACCCCGGUAGUCCACGCCGUAAACGAUGUCUACUAGCCGUUGGGAACCUUGUGUUCUUAGUGGCGCAGCUAACGCAAUAAGUAGACCGCCUGGGGAGUACGGUCGCAAGAUUAAAACUCAAAUGAAUUGACGGGGGCCCGCACAAGCGGUGGAGCAUGUGGUUUAAUUCGACGCAACGCGAAGAACCUUACCUACUCUUGAAAUCCAGAGAAUUCGUCAGAGAUGACUUAGUGCCUUCGGGAACUCUGUGACAGGUGCUGCAUGGCUGUCGUCAGCUCGUGUUGUGAAAUGUUGGGUUAAGUCCCGUAACGAGCUCAACCCCUAUCUUUAGUUACCAGCGCGUAAUGGCGGGAACUUAAGGAGACUGCCGGUGACAAACCGGAGGAAGACGGGGACGACGUCAAGUCAUCAUGGCCCUUACGAGUAGGGCUACACACGUGCUACAAUGGCAUAGACAGAGGGUUGCGAACCAGCGAUGGUAAGCCAAUCCCACAAACUAUGUCGUAGUCCGGAUUGGAGUCUGCAACUCGACUCCAUGAAGUCGGAAUCGCUAGUAAUCGUAGAUCAGAAUGCUACGGUGAAUACGUUCCCGGGCCUUGUACACACCGC
rnacentral:rRNA from 1 species